rnacentral:ncRNA from 2 species
AGGAGCCGUGUGCGUUAAUUGCGCCAGCACGGUUCUGUGAGGGGGGUAUGCCGCGAGGCAUACCUUCUACUCGAC